rnacentral:rRNA from 1 species
UGGGGAAUAUUGGACAAUGGGGGCAACCCUGAUCCAGCCAUGCCGCGUGUGUGAAGAAGGCCUUUUGGUUGUAAAGCAUUUUAAGCAGGGAGGAGAGGCUAAUGGUUAAUACCCAUUAGAUUAGACGUUACCUGCAGAAUAAGCACCGGCUAACUCUGUGCCAGCAGCCGCGGUAAUACAGAGGGUGCGAGCGUUAAUCGGAAUUACUGGGCGUAAAGCGAGUGUAGGUGGCUCAUUAAGUCACAUGUGAAAUCCCCGGGCUUAACCUGGGAACUGCAUGUGAUACUGGUGGUGCUAGAAUAUGUGAGAGGGAAGUAGAAUUCCAGGUGUAGCGGUGAAAUGCGUAGAGAUCUGGAGGAAUACCGAUGGCGAAGGCAGCUUCCUGGCAUAAUAUUGACACUGAGAUUCGAAAGCGUGGGUAGCAAAACAGGAUUAGAUACCCUGGUAGUCCACGCCGUAAAACGAUGUCUACUAGCCGUUGGGGUCCUUGAGACUUUAGUGGCGCAGUUAACGCGAUAAGUAGACCGCCUGGGGAGUACGGCCGCAAGGUUAAAAACUCAAAGGAAUUGAC